UACGAAGGUGGCAAGCGUUGUUCGGAUUUACUGGGCGUACAGGGAGCGUAGGCGGUUGGAUAAGCCCUCCGUGAAAUCUCCAGGCUUAACCUGGAAAGUGCAGAGGGGACUGUUCAGCUAGAGGAUGGGAGAGGAGCGCGGAAUUCCCGGUGUAGCGGUGAAAUGCGUAGAGAUCGGGAGGAACAUCAGUGGCGAAAGCGACUUCCUGGACCAGUACCGACGUUCAGGCACGAAAGCGUGGGGAGCAAACAGG
rnacentral:rRNA from 1 species